rnacentral:rRNA from 1 species
UACGUAGGGUGCAAGCGUUGUCCGGAAUUAUUGGGCGUAAAGAGCUCGUAGGCGGUCUGUCGCGUCGGCUGUGAAAACCCGAGGCUCAACCUCGGGUCUGCAGUCGAUACGGGCAAACUAGAGUAUUGCAGGGGAGACUGGAAUUCCUGGUGUAGCGGUGAAAUGCGCAGAUAUCAGGAGGAACACCGGUGGCGAAGGCGGGUCUCUGGGCAAUAACUGACGCUGAGGAGCGAAAGCGUGGGGAGCGAACAGG